UCCUCUCUAAACUUUUGCGCAAAGAAGGUAUUUUAAUUCAACAUCGAGGUCAUAAACUCACUUGUCAAUUUGGACUUUCUAAGUGAAUUAAGCUGUUAUCCCUAAAGUAACUUAUUUCUUUUUUAAAAAUUCUAGGUAUUUUAACAAGUCCGUUUUAUUUUAAAAGAAAAGAGUUUUUUCUCACCGCCCCAGUGAAAUACUUUCCUCUUAUUCUCUUAAAGGUAAGUAUAAAGUUUUAUAGGGUCUUCUCGUCUAAAAGGAAAAUUUUAGCCUUUUUACUAAAAAGUAAAAUUCAUUUUAUUAGAUAAAAAAAAAUUCCCUUGGUUUACUCUUUCAUUCCGGUCCCAAAUUAAAAGA
rnacentral:rRNA from 1 species